rnacentral:rRNA from 1 species
UACAGAGGGGGCAAGCGUUAUUCGGAAUUAUUGGGCGUAAAGGGCGCGUAGGCGGCCUGGCAAGUGGAAGGUGAAAUCCCUCGGCUUAACCGAGGAACUGCCCUCCAAACUGCUUGGCUUGAGUCCGGGAGAGGUGAGUGGAAUUCCCAGUGUAGCGGUGAAAUGCGUAGAUAUUGGGAGGAACACCAGUGGCGAAGGCGGCUCACUGGACCGGAACUGACGCUGAGGCGCGAAAGCCAGGGGGAGCAAAACGGGG